UACGUAGGGUGCGAGCGUUAAUCGGAAUUACUGGGCGUAAAGCGUGCGCAGGCGGUUAUGCAAGACAGAUGUGAAAUCCCCGGGCUCAACCUGGGAACUGCAUUUGUGACUGCAUGGCUAGAGUGCGGCAGAGGGGGAUGGAAUUCCGCGUGUAGCAGUGAAAUGCGUAGAGAUGUGGAGGAAUACCGAUGGCGAAGGCAGCCCCCUGGGAUAACACUGACGCUCAUGCACGAAAGCGUGGGGAGCAAACAGG
rnacentral:rRNA from 1 species